rnacentral:lncRNA from 1 species
CUUGUCAUUCGUCACCUUCAAGUCGUCAUCAAGUCCCUCUGUGUGUAGCUUCACUUGCCUUUCAAAAUGUUGUAUGAUGCCCUUAGUGCGAGGUGACUGUGGAAUUUUGUUGGUAUCCUCUGUCUCUGUCAUGGUUUAAAAAAAACACACAGUGGAAACAAGAAAAAUAGGUGAAGAAAUAAAAACCCUACAGCUAUUAGGAUGUGGCUACUGUAAGACGCUCUCUAUCAACCUGUCUAACAAGUUCUUACCAAUUCUUACCUUGCUCAACAGGAGGGAUUGGCUACCAACAAAUCCACAGCAAUAGAUGAAGUGUAUCGGUGUCGCAGCAACAAAACCUAUCAAGCUGUAGAAUAUGUGGAGCUAUAGGUGGGCUGAAACAAGGAUCGAACUAGCACCACGUUAGUUAUAAAAAGCAAGUUGAAUAAACGCUCAACGGUGGUACUGUGCUGGUCCUAGCCUAGACCGUGCUAGAGACGCGAGCCUGGACACAAAGGGAAAACACAGCACACCACUAGAAAUAAAAUGAGCAGCCCUACUGGAAACAAAAAGGAACAACAAUCCCCUUUUUUUGACUUUUUUUCUUUCUUUCUUUCUUUUUUUUUAUUUUUUUUCUUUCUCUUUUCUUUUUUUUGGGGAACCUCAAAACCUGAUUAUAUAAACAAAAUAGUACAAAAUAUCACUUCACCACUCUCACCCUCUCACUAGAGUAAGGCUGAACCUCAAAAUUCAAUAUAUCUAGCACAAGUAUGAAGUGCUAUCUUUCCUUUUGGAUCACGUUGAUGGAAACGCAGAAUAGACCAACAAGUGGCUGCACCUAUUAUCAAGAUCUACUCAAAUUCCAACCCACAAUAGAUUGGACGCAGUUGUGACUAGAUGGUGACAAGAACUCAAAACUCUAAAGGACUAAACUAAAACCAGCACUGGACAUGACCGAAGCAAACACUCAUUCAACCAGCCCUAACUAAGUAGUACUAGCCACGGCACAAAGGAUUGAUAGGAUUAUGGAAAACAAAUCUGCUAUAUUUUUUGGCUUUUUUUUGGACUAUAGGAAGAACAAACACGAAGAAUUGGAAAUCUCUCACCGAUAAACCUUCCUCUGAUACCAACUGAUGUGAACCCACUAGGGUUUUCGCCUGAUCUUUCGAUGAGAGGCGCUGGAUAACUCGAUUAGUGAAUGGAGAUGACGUUCACGGCCCGACUACAGCCCUCAAGAACGCGCCUUAGCAACCGAUACACCGCCUCCAAUGGCUGUCACGAUCUUGUGGAGCGCAACACCCGGCCACUAGGGCACUCGUCCUGCAAGCAAUCGAAGAACCAGCAAGAACAAGUAGAACAAGUACUAAAUUACUAGAUGUAAAUGAAGGUUUCAAACUCAAUCUCUAAUGAAGUGGGGUUUCGAAAUCAAGAAGACGGGCGGC